GGGCGGCGGUGGUCGGGAUAUUGGGCGUAAGAGCUUGUAGGUGGUUUGUCGCGUCUGCUGUGAAAAUCCGAGGCUCAACCUCGGACUUGCAGUGGGUACGGGCAGACUAGAGUGUGGUAGGGGAGACUGGAAUUCCUGGUGUAGCGGUGGAAUGCGCAGAUAUCAGGAGGAACACCGAUGGCGAAGGCAGGUCUCUGGGCCAUUACUGACACUGAGAAGCGAAAGCAUGGGGAGCGAACAGGAUUAGAUACCCUGGUAGUCCAUGCCGUAAACGUUGGGAACUAGGUGUGGGUCUCAUUCCACGAGAUCCGUGCCGCAGCUAACGCAUUAAGUUCCCCGCCUGGGGAGUACGGCCGCAAGGCUAAAACUCAAAGGAAUUGACGGGGGCCCGCACAAGCGGCGGAGCAUGCGGAUUAAUUCGAUGCAACGCGAAGAACCUUACCAAGGCUUGACAUACACCGGAAUCACUCAGAGAUGGGUGCGUCUUCGGACUGGUGUACAGGUGGUGCAUGGUUGUCGUCAGCUCGUGUCGUGAGAUGUUGGGUUAAGUCCCGCAACGAGCGCAACCCUCGUUCUAUGUUGCCAGCACGUCAUGGUGGGGACUCAUAGGAGACUGCCGGGGUCAACUCGGAGGAAGGUGGGGAUGACGUCAAAUCAUCAUGCCCCUUAUGUCUUGGGCUUCACGCAUGCUACAAUGGCCGGUACAAAGGGCUGCGAAACCGCGAGGUGGAGCGAAUCCCAAAAAACCGGUCUCAGUUCGGAUUGGGGUCUGCAACUCGACCCCAUGAAGUCGGAGUCGCUAGUAAUCGCAGAUCAGCAACGCUGCGGUGAAUACGUUCCCGGGCCUUGUACACACCGCCCGUCAAGUCACGAAAGCCUGUUGUACCAGAAGUCGCUGGCCUAACCCUUCGGGGAAGGAGGCGCCUAAAGUAUGGCCGGUGAUUGGGGUGAAGUCGUAACAAGGUAACC
rnacentral:rRNA from 1 species